GUAAGUUUCAAAAUUUUCUUUUUUGCUGCUACAGAUGGAAGCGCCUUCUAUUUCUCAAAACAAGUGAAGCGUAAGAAAUAGAAGGAAUCAUCUCUGCUCCAGUUACAGUUUCCUGUCAACUCAGCAGAGAUGAGAGAAGAAUCUAUGAUUUUGAAAGGAAACAGUUUGAGUCUUUUGAAUGAAUUUGAGCUCAUUCUGGAAUCUGAUCCUCUCAUUGAUGAAGUAGGAUUUAUUCACCCAUCCCAAUUUGUCACAUUAAAUAAAGAAGCAAGCAGCUCCUUGGAACAUGAAGAUGCAAAUUUUUGGAGCAGGGAUCAUAAGCUUGCAAUUUCGACAGAUGUUCUCCUUCCUUUGUAUAAGGCGGUCAAAGAUGUGUUUAUGCAUGCAAUUAGCCAAUAUAAGAGCCAUGAGAAUCUAUCUGAUGCAUCUUGGGAUGAGGGUAAUCUUGAAAGUGAGGUCAUGAAGCACAGCAAGGCGCUUUUAUUGUUAAGCUGUGACUUUGGGACUGCAUGGAAUUUCAGGAAGUUAAUUGUGUCAAAGAAGCAGCACAUGUUGAUAUUCUUGGAUGAACUUUUCUUGUCGGCCCUAGUCCUUUCAUGCUCUCCCAAAAGUGAAAAGGCAUGGUGCCACAGGCGGUGGGUGAUCAAGAUGCUUGCUGGAAAAUGUUCAACCAUGCAAGUUAUUGUAGGGAAAGAAUCUGAGCUAGUGGAGAAAAUAGCUGAGAGAUCAAAAAUGAAUUAUCGUGCAUGGAAUCAUCGUUGCUGGUUAGUUUCAUACAUGACAACAGAACAGGUGCUGCAUGAGUUGAAGAAAUCCAGAAACUGGGCUGGAUUACAUGUUGCUGAUAAUUCUUGCUUUCAUUAUCGCACUCGGCUGAUGCUCAGGAUCAGGGAGGAUCACUGCCAUAAACUAGAAGAUGGAACAUCUGAUGGAAAUGAUGAAAUUUAUCGAAUCUGGCAGGAGGAGCUUGAUUGGAAUGAAGCAUUGAUUAAGUGUUAUGUAGGAAGAGAGGCUUUGUGGCUUCAUCGUCGUUUCCUCUCCUUGUCUUGGAUAAGGCAUUUCACAACUAAUGUUGGUGAUACAUCUAACUACCGUGUAUGUAAAUCCAGCAUAAAUGCUGACAUUGGUGUCUUUAUGGAUAAUGAGUUGCAUCUCGCAAAUUCCUGCUCAACAAUACCUGAUAAUGAGUUUGAGGAUUUUCAAGCACAGGCAAUAUAUUCCGCAACUUACAUAUUAUGGCUGACAAAGGUACAAAUCUCCGAUUCCCAGGGAAUUGAGCUCCAAGAAAAGCCAAAUCUUGGAAGCCUGAGGACCAUGCUGAAUACGGCGUGUCCUGAAAGAUCGUCUCUUUGGGACAUCUCAACAAGGAUAUCUGGGAAGUGUGACGAGGGCUUGAAGGAGAAUAGGUAUCAACGUAGAUAGAUAAAUCUGUUAUACAGUGUUAGGACCAUAUUCUUUCUACGUUGCCCAGAUGGUAACUGUUGCCUGCUCAAGUGGGGACUUGAAUCCAGAGUUCUAAUCCUUUUUGCUUCACGAGUCUAUUGGCGUGAAGCAUGUGAAUCCUCAAGUCUUGAACUGUAGACUGUAUUCUUGAUUUUAGACAAAACCACAACCACCUGCCUGGCAUGUGAUUCAUUUUUUUAAUUAAAAUAAUAACUUUUUUCAUUUUUUU